rnacentral:rRNA from 1 species
GAUGAACGCUGACAGAAUGCUUAACACAUGCAAGUCUACUUGAAUUUGGGUUUUUUAACUUAGAUUUGGGUGGCGGACGGGUGAGUAACGCGUAAAGAACUUGCCUCACAGCUAGGGACAACAUUUGGAAACGAAUGCUACUAACUGAUAUUAUGAUUAUAAGGCAUCUUAGUAUUAUGAAAGAUAUAUGCGCUGUGAGAGAGCUUUGCGUCCCAUUAGCUAGUUGGAGAGGUAACGGCUCACCAAGGCGAUGAUGGGUAGCCGGCCUGAGAGGGUGAACGGCCACAAGGGGACUGAGACACGGCCCUUACUCCUACGGGAGGCAGCAGUGGGGAAUAUUGGACAAUGGACCAAGAGUCUGAUCCAGCAAUUCUGUGUGCACGAUGACGUUUUUCGGAAUGUAAAGUGCUUUCAGUUGGGAAGAAAAAAAUGACGGUACCAACAGAAGAAGUGACGGCUAAAUACGUG